UGUUUCGGCUAGGGGGCCAUCCCGGCUUACCAACCCGAUGCAAACUGCGAAUACCGGAGAAUGUUAUCACGGGAGACACACGGCGGGUGCUAACGUCCGUCGUGAAGAGGGAAACAACCCAGACCGCCAGCUAAGGUCCCAAAGUCAUGGUUAAGUGGGAAACGAUGUGGGAAGGCCCAGACAGCCAGGAUGUUGGCUUAGAAGCAGCCAUCAUUUAAAGAAAGCGUAAUAGCUCACUGGUCGAGUCGGCCUGCGCGGAAGAUGUAACGGGGCUAAACCAUGCACCGAAGCUGCGGCAGCGACGCUGAUGCGUUGUUGGGUAGGGGAGCGUUCUGUAAGCCUGUGAAGGUGGCCUGUGAGGGUUGCUGGAGGUAUCAGAAGUGCGAAUGCUGACAUAAGUAACGAUAAAGCGGGUGAAAAGCCCGCUCGCCGGAAGACCAAGGGUUCCUGUCCAACGUUAAUCGGGGCAGGGUGAGUCGACCCCUAAGGCGAGGCCGAAAGGCGUAGUCGAUGGGAAACGGGUUAAUAUUCCCGUACUUGG
rnacentral:rRNA from 1 species